GGACCUGAAGGAUGAAGGAAGGG
rnacentral:piRNA from 1 species